rnacentral:tRNA from 1 species
UAAAUAAACUAGCCUUAGUAGCUUAAUAAAAGCA